rnacentral:misc_RNA from 1 species
UUUCCGUAGGUGAACCUGCGGAAGGAUCAUUACCGAGUUUUUAAUGAAGUUGUUUUGGUCUUUCUGGGCAUGUGAACGCAUCUCUCAAUCCAUCUUACGCUUGUGCACCUAUCGGUGAAGACUUGGAUCUAAGUUGGGUCACUACGGCGAUCUACAGUCUCCUCUUUAUACCAAAUAACAGUUUUUGAAAGUCUUUUUUGCUUGUGGCAAACUUAAAUAAAUACAACUUUCAGCAACGGAUCUCUUGGCUCUC